UGUGCAAUUCUGGCCAAUGAGCGCUGGGAAGAGGCGUAACAGUGCAUACUUGAAGAUUCUCUGCUGUCUUCGGAAACAGCAGGAGGAAGGGCUUGGUAGGGUGCGGGGCGGUGCUGUAGCCCUUUUGCUCCGAGAAGGAAAGCAGCCAACCCCUGAGACAGCUUGUCAUGUGCUCGACAAUCCCAUCCACCUCAGGACCUUCAGACAUGCUGUUCCUCCCCGCUCUGUGUGAUUCGCAUCUACCGCGCCUUCAGGUCUCCGAUCAGACACUGCCAAGUGAAAACACAUCCAGAUUCAGGGAUCGAACUCAGGACCCUGAGCUUGCAAGGCAGGCGGCGGAACCACUGAGCUAAAUCCCUGGCCCCCAUUUGCCUAUUCAUCGUGUUCCAAGUCCAUACUGCACCGUAUCACCAUCAUCACCUCCAUUUUACAAAUGAGGAGACAUCAAAGAGCCCGCCGAGGUAAGUGUGCACUUCGCUAGUUAGCAGAAGAGCUGGAAACGGAACUCGGGAGCUCGGCUUCACGUGCUUUCAAAAACCUUCUCAGGCUGAAAUAGUUCAAAGAACAAACAUUUUUGUCACCACCUCCAAGCAGCUUUGCACGUAGUCUUGGAAACAGGAAAAACAGCUGCUCCACAUUGCGCAUGCGCAGAUAACCAAGCCCCCCCCCUAGAAUCUCCAAUUCCCCUAUCUCACCACUAGAGGGCGCGACCCGAUUUUUUGCCCCGGACCAUCAACCAAUCGUCCAAGGUGUACUCACUGUGCAGCUCAAAAGGAAGGUACAAAGUUCACUAAACCAGCCUCGGUGCAAGACUUCAAAUAUCUUCUGGAAAGAGAGACACCUCCUACUUCCUGACCAAUUCCUCUCAUCUCUGGAAGGCCUAAGAAGUCCCUCCUAAGUCUGACCCAGCCUAGUACAACCCAGGUUCUUUGUUCUUCGGUUUUUGGAAACAAGGAACAGAUAAGUGUGUGGCAUCCACAUCGCAGCCACUGUUCAGAGACGCUUCUGAGAACAAGGUGUAGAGCUCUGAGGUCGUCGGCUUUUUGUUUCCCUUCUUUGCAAGUUACAGGCAUCUCUGAUCUCUCUCUGGUUUCUCUCUGUCCCUCAGAACCACAAUGGACUUUGCCUCCAAUAUCUUAGCCAAGGUUAGAUUUACUUCCUGGUUUUGGAAUGUUACCCUGUUAAUGUAUCCAAGCAAGAAGCAAUCACUUGGCACAGUGAUUCGUCUGUAUCAACUUGAUGGUAGCAAGGCAAUCGGUACAGAACAGACAAUGAUGCAAUAGUACACAACAUGCUUGGUAUUUAAAUUUUAAUGCAAGGCAACAAUGCACUUCUGCUUUGAUUAAAGCUGCCAGGCUUAGAUGAACAAAGUCUGGGAAGCAACAGAAAGAUAAGAAACAACUGAUUUGUUAGGUUUGGGGGAUCAAUUAUUGUUUUUUCAUUAUUGGUAUAAUAAUGAGGGCUUUAAGCAAUGGGUAAAAUCUUUUAUUCACUCAUAAAUUAAUGGAGCACAUAUCACAGGGCCAGGGAUUUAGCUUCGUGGUUCUACUGCCUGCCUUGCAAGUGCAAGGACCCAAGUUCGAUCCCCGGUACCAAACAAACAAACAUAUCAUAUGUAAGACAGUACCCUGCGUGGUGGUACAUGCCCAUAGUUCCAGCACUUUGAGAGGGUGAAGCAGGAGAAACACAGUUGGGUUUAAUUCCAAGUAUCACAAAACAAGCAAACUACGGGCUGAGUAUUAUAAAGAAGGCAAAAUCAGCUACAGAGCCUGCUGUUCAGAGUAAUAGUCAUCCACAUAGUAAAAGUGCUUACCACGUCAUAGGUACUAGAUAUAAUCUCUACUGUACUAAGAAAGUGAGAAACAGGGGCUGCAGGUUUAGCUCAGGGGCACCUCACCUGCCUGGCAAGCACAAGGUCCUGAGUUCAACCCCUAUUAUGAGGAGGAGGGGAGCAGAGAGGUUAACCAGCUUAUCAAGGUCAUACAGAAUAAAAGCAGAACCAGAGUUGGAGCUCAGCCACUCCAGAGUGCAAGAACUCCAUCAUAACCAUUACUCUGCCCUGCCUCUCAGGGUAGCCCAGUGAGAUAGAGAUAAGAUACUUUCAAUCAUUCAGCAAAUAUUUAUUGAGCUCCUACUACAUUAGGCACCAGAAUGUGCUGGAAAUGCACUGCUCCGCAAGACAGCACAGCCCCUGCCCCCACAGAGCGCAGAGCCACAGUUACAGCAUUAUGGGAGUGCACAGGAGAAAAGAGAACGCCCCCUUAUGAAGCUGUUUAGGAAAGCACCACUUCCCUACACUCUACAUUCCCUUCCUAGCACAGCAUCGAUCUGGAGGGGAAAGGACAGAAGAGGAGGGAAACAGUACCAAAAGAAAAGUAAUGAGAAAUGCACUGAUUCAUCCAGCAAGCAACUGAAGAGAUUUUAAAAUAAUGGAGGUGGGCAUGGUGGUGCAGGCUUCUAAUCCCAGCACUC